rnacentral:rRNA from 1 species
UACGUAGGGUCCAAGCGUUAUCCGGAAUCACUGGGCGUAAAGCGUGCGUAGGUGGCGUGUUAAGUGUGAUGUUAAAUCGUGUGGCUCAACCAUAUCGAUGUGUCGCAUACUGGCAUGCUAGAGGACAGCAGAGGCAAGUGGAAUUUGUAGUGUAGCAGUGAAAUGCGUAGAUAUUACAAGGAACACCAAUGGCGAAGGCAGCUCGCUGGGACGGUACUGACGCUAAGGCGCGAAAGCGUGGGGAGCAAACAGG